UAAAUCAAUCCUAAUUAUAAAUUGAAUUAUGGAAUGGUUUAGAACUGGGGGUGAAUUUGGAGGUAGGUGUGCAGAGAAAGUUGUGUGUGUAUGUGUAUAAGUGUGAACAUAAGGAGAGAGAGUAGGCAACUUUUCCUUUCUUUGAGCUGGGCAAAACCGUGAGAAAGAGAGCGAGAGAGAGAGAGAGAGAGAGAGAAAGCUUUGUGCUGGUGGGUUUUGAAGGAAAUUCAAGAAGAGAAAAUGGAAGAUCAUCAAGAAACUAUCAAAUUGAAGAUUAAAGGUGGACGUCUGAGGCCUUAUAUCAACUUAACCCACUGAAAAGAUGUGGUGAUCUUGCCUAACCAAAGGCGAGGAAAUAUGUAUUGAGAGUACAAGACUCUCAUUUUGCUGUAACUCUGUUUGUAAGCCAAGAGCUAUAUUUGUGUGGGUUUGAAUAACAUUUUGUGUAAUCAGGCCUAAGCCUUGGAAACUUGUAAACCCUUGGGGGUAUCUAUUUGUUUAUGUUAUUUUGAUUUGAAGUGAAUGUAUUAUCGCCUGAAGACUAUUUGUAUCAUGUAAUGCAAGUGUGGGGAUUUAUUUUCAGUUUUACUUUAAAGAACCAUGGUUAUCAUAUUAUCAUUUGGGUAUAAAAAUUGGGGCAUUACGAAAGAUGGUGGAAGUUCUUAUUUGUACACAAAAUUGGCUCCGAAGUAACAUUUGAAUAUGCCUUCGACAAGCAAUGGAUUAUGUUAAAG